AGUGAACGCUGGCGGCAGGCCUAACACAUGCAAGUCGAACGGCAGCACAGGAGAGCUUGCUCUCUGGGUGGCGAGUGGCGGACGGGUGAGGAAUACGUCGGAAUCUGCCUAUUUGUGGGGGAUAACGUAGGGAAACUUACGCUAAUACCGCAUACGACCUACGGGUGAAAGCGGAGGACCUUCGGGCUUCGCGCAGAUAGAUGAGCCGACGUCGGAUUAGCUAGUUGGCGGGGUAACGGCCCACCAAGGCGACAAUCCGUAGCUGGUCUGAGAGGAUGAUCAGCCACACUGGAACGGAGACACGGUCCAGACUCCUACGGGAGGCAGCAGUGGGGAAUAUUGGACAAUGGGCGCAAGCCUGAUCCAGCCAUGCCGCGUGAGUGAAGAAGGCCCUCGGGUUGUAAAGCUCUUUUGUCCGGAAAGAAGAGCGCUCGGUUAAUACCCAAGCGUCAUGACGGUACCGGAAGAAUAAGCACCGGCUAACUUCGUGCCAGCCGCCGCAGUAAUAC
rnacentral:rRNA from 1 species